GACCAUACUUGGCCGAAUGCACCAUAUCCCGUCCGAUUUGUGAAGUUAAGCGGCCACAGGCCUCGUU
rnacentral:rRNA from 1 species